rnacentral:rRNA from 1 species
CCGGAGGAAGGUGGGGAUGACGUCAAAUCAUCAUGCCCCUUAUGACCUGGGCUACACACGUGCUACAAUGGGCGGUACAAAGGGCUGCGAACCCGCGAGGGGGAGCGAAUCCCAAAAAGCCGCUCUCAGUUCGGAUUGCAGGCUGCAACUCGCCUGCAUGAAGCCGAAAUCGCUAGUAAUCGCGGAUCAGCAUGCCGCGGUGAAUACGUUCCCGGGCCUU